rnacentral:rRNA from 1 species
GAUAACGUCCGGAAACGGGCGCUAAUACCGCAUACGUCCUGAGGGAGAAAGUGGGGGAUCUUCGGACCUCACGCUAUCAGAUGAGCCUAGGUCGGAUUAGCUAGUUGGUGGGGUAAAGGCCUACCAAGGCGACGAUCCGUAACUGGUCUGAGAGGAUGAUCAGUCACACUGGAACUGAGACACGGUCCAGACUCCUACGGGAGGCAGCAGUGGGGAAUAUUGGACAAUGGGCGAAAGCCUGAUCCAGCCAUGCCGCGUGUGUGAAGAAGGUCUCCGGAUUGUAAAGCACUUUAAGUUGGGAGGAAGGGCAGUAAGUUAAUACCUUGCUGUUUUGACGUUACCAACAGAAUAAGCACCGGCUAACUUCGUGCCAGCAGCCGCGGUAAUACGAAGGGUGCAAGCGUUAAUCGGAAUUACUGGGCGUAAAGCGCGCGUAGGUGGUUCAGCAAGUUGGAUGUGAAAUCCCCGGGCUCAACCUGGGAACUGCAUCCAAAACUACUGAGCUAGAGUACGGUAGAGGGUGGUGGAAUUUCCUGUGUAGCGGUGAAAUGCGUAGAUAUAGGAAGGAACACCAGUGGCGAAGGCGACCACCUGGACUGAUACUGACACUGAGGUGCGAGAGCGUGGGGAGCAAACAGGAUUAGAUACCCUGGUAGUCCACGCCGUAAACGAUGUCGACUAGCCGUUGGGAUCCUUGAGAUCUUAGUGGCGCAGCUAACGCGAUAAGUCGAC